UGUUCGAUUGGCAUUUUAGAAGUUGAUGGAUAAUGGAAAAGUAUAAUACUUUAUGGAAAGUCUGACUUCCAACUUCUAAAAUGCCACUCAAAGAAGUUUUCAGUUCACUGCCUUAUUUCACAUGGUUGCAAACCACUUCUUGUCUUUGACAAUUACAUGUCAACUUAAAACAAUUGACACUAGCAUUUUGACUUUAUAACUUAGCCUGUACAAUAAGCAUGGACGUAUAAUUUUGUCUUUAAUAUAUGAAGUGAAACUGAUUGAUAUGCAAAAGGCACAUACUUGUCUACCCAGUUAUGAUUCGAAGUUUUUGUGCCAAGCACUGCUUGUCUUCCUGGUGCCUGAUCUAGAGGUGAUCAUGUUCACAGAUGAGGAAGUUUUUACCUCAUACACUGGGCAUUUUUGAUAUUUUAUUGUUUCUUGUGAAUUAUUAUAGUUGUUUGUUAAUGAUAUUACUGCCGCUGCCAGUAAAGACUUCCCAGAUUAAUGUCUAACUAAUAGUUGCAAGCAGCUUAUGUACAUGACAGAGAUGGAUUGACAGCUACUUUCAACAGUACUUCAUUUCUGAGAUCAGUGUUCAACAUUCAGGGGAACAUAGGGUGAAGUAUGUUAAUCUUGGGUCCCCCAAAUCUGCAAGUAAGGGCUUUCAACUUCAAGCUUAUUUUUGAACACCGCUAAAGUGAUGUAGGUCAGUCAAUGACGUGUCUCAAAAUCAUACUAGUAUCAGAAACUGAUACAUUGGCCCAUUUCUGGUGUCCCCGCCGUGAUGUUGCUGGAAUAUUGCUAAAAGCGGCGUAAAACUCAGUCAGAGCCAUAUUUCCAAAUAGUGACAUGCAUAUACAUGUUCAAGAUUUGUACAAUCAGUAUAUUUGUUUUGUUUUUCCCAACAGAAUGUGGAAAUCACUGGCUAUGAUGUGAUCACAUCAGGCACCAAUAUUACACUUUGUGACGUAUUUGGUUGAUGUGAAACUGUUUUUGCUCACUUUGAUUUGGAGUGAGCUUAAGAAGUGUUUCUGUUCAUUCAACUUUAAGGUAUUCAUCAAGAUACAGCUACUUUUAUUGAACAGGUAUUCAUCAAGUUAUUUAUUCAUCAAGAUACAGCUACUUUUAUUGAACAUUUCUGUAUUUACCAGUGUAUGUUUUUUGUACUUGGAAUACAGUGAUCUGAGUGUUG